CUAAGGUAACGAUCCUACGGGAGGCAGCAGUAGGGGAAUCUUUCGGGCAAUGGGGGGGCAACCCUGGACCGAGCAACGCCGCGUGAGUGAAGAAGGGUUUUCGGAUCGUAAAGCUCUGUUUGUAAGUCAAGAACGGGUGUGAGAGUGGAAAGUUCACACUGUGACGGUAGCUUACCAGAAAGGGACGGCUAACUACGUGCCAGCAGCCGCGGUAA
rnacentral:rRNA from 1 species